rnacentral:rRNA from 1 species
CAGUCGCCGCGGGAAUACGUAGGUCCCGAGCGUUGUCCGGAUUUAUUGGGCGUUAAGCGAGCGCAGGCGGUUAGAUAAGUCUGAAGUUAAAGGCUGUGGCUUAACCAUAGUACGCUUUGGAAACUGUUUAACUUGAGUGCAAGAGGGGAGAGUGGAAUUCCAUGUGUAGCGGUGAAAUGCGUAGAUAUAUGGAGGAACACCGGUGGCGAAAGCGGCUCUCUGGCUUGUAACUGACGCUGAGGCUCGAAAGCGUGGGGAGCAAACAGGAUUAGAUACCCCCGUAGUCCCUGUCUCUUAUACC